rnacentral:rRNA from 1 species
GACAGAGGGUGCAAACGUUGCUCGGAAUCACUGGGCGUAAAGGGUGCGUAGGCGGGUCUUUAAGUCAGGGGUGAAAUCCUGGAGCUCAACUCCAGAACUGCCUUUGAUACUGAAGAUCUUGAGUUCGGGAGAGGUGAGUGGAACUGCGAGUGUAGAGGUGAAAUUCGUAGAUAUUCGCAAGAACACCAGUGGCGAAGGCGGCUCACUGGCCCGAUACUGACGCUGAGGCACGAAAGCGUGGGAGCAAACAGG